AGUAAGCGCGUUAGGGAUUGAAGUGGCAUCCUUUUUGUUUUUUUUGCAAAAAGAUAUAACGGAAAGCCCGACCUUUA
rnacentral:sRNA from 1 species